ensembl:lncRNA
ACUUUGUCAGUCCUCUCUUUAGAACCCUCCAAUGAUCUGUCCUCUCAUUUCAAGUCCCUGUUUCAUCUGAAACGCUCCCCCCAUUACUCUGCUCACCUCAUCUCCAACCACUAUUCCCCUCAGCCACACCGGCCCCCUUGUUGUGCCCUGAACGCACUCCACCUCAGGCCUCCUGCAUUUGCUGGUUUGUGCUCGGAACACUCCUUCCUCAGACAUCAUCAGUCCUCCGGCACUCUGUUCAAAUACCCAAAGGUCCUUUAUAAACGAUUGCACCUCGGCCUCUCCCAGCUCUCGCUUCUCUUUGUCCUGCUCAAUAGCACUUGUCACCACCUGACCUAUUAUAGUCACUUAUUUAUUGUCUGUCUCCCUUCACUAGACUGUGAACACCUACAAAGGAUGCCUUCCAAGAGCACCUCCUCUGGAGAAGCGGAGAUAAAGAUAACCAAGAAAACUAUCCCGGCCCUUGAGGAACCCACACUUCAAGGGAGAGAGCCCAUGAGUGGGAGGGAGAGACUGAAGAAGAGGGAGAGAGAGAAUCUCAAGCAGCCUGCACUGAGUGCAGAGCCAAUGUCAGGCUCCAUCUCACGACCUUAAGAUCAUGACCUGAGCCAGAGUCAAGUGUCAGAUGCUUAACCAACUGUGCCACACAGGCUCCCUGAAAUGUACGUACCUUUUGGCUCAGUGAUUCCACUUCUAGAAAUUUAUACUACAGAGAUACUUGCACAUUUGCAAAAUUACAAAUGGUCAAAGUAAUGCACGGCAAAAUUGUUUGAAAUCACAAAAGUUUGGAAAUAAGUGGCCACCUCUGGAGAACUGAUGAAACAAACUAUGCGAAUACACAUCUACUCCAUGCAGCCCUAGGAAUGAGGAAGUGCCAUCGACUAAUAGGAAUUAUUUCCAAGAUAUAGAUUUCCAAGCAAGAUCCAGGAAGCGUGGUCAACACUCUCUCAUUUAUGAGACAACUUCUUUUUUUUUUUUUUUUCAAAUUUUCGUUUUGUUUGUAUUAUAUCCACGAAUAUCCCACUAGCCAAUCAAGUCACGUGGCGAAACCCAACAUCACUGGUACAGGAAAAUAUUCACCAUGCCCAGGCAAAAGGGAAAGGACAUAAACAGAAGGAGGGGUAAAAAAUUGGGAACAAUCCUGCCAUCAACCAUAUCGACUUUUCUUUGACUUUACCCUUUAUAGCAAUGCCAUAUGGCGGCAGGUGUUUUGCAAUUAAGCAUACACACGCAUUCAUAGAUGUUAUGAGACAACUUCUAUACGCACUUACUUGUCUAGGCACAAACUAUCCCUGGAAGACUAUUUGAGACACUGAUAACAUUAGAUAACAGUAUCAUACCUAAGAAAAGGUAUGCUAUGACAGGCGAGGGGAGUUCAGAACAAGAGUGAAGACUUUAAUUCUUUAAAACUUUUUUUCUAAAGGGGGGGGCGUCUGGGUGGCUUAGUUGUUAACCGUCUGCCUUUGGCUCAGGUCAUGAUCCCGGGGUCCUGGGAUCGAGCCCAGCAUUGGGCUCCCUGCUCUGCGGGAAGCCUGCUUCUUCCUCUCCCACUCCCCCUGCUUGUGUUCCCUCUCUCGCUGUCUGUCUCUCUCUGUCAAGUAAAUAAAUAAAAUCUUAAAAAAAAAUAAAAAAGAAUA